rnacentral:tRNA from 1 species
UUGGUUAAAGCCAAAUAGAGGCGUGUCACUGUUAAUGACAAAAAUGGAACAUAUUCCUAACCAAG